UACAGAGGGUGCAAGCGUUGUUCGGAAUUACUGGGCGUAAAGCGUGCGUAGGUGGUGCGUUAAGUCUGUCGUGAAAGCCCCGGGCUCAACCUGGGAAUGGCGAUGGAUACUGGCGCGCUAGAGUGCGGUAGAGGAGAGUGGAAUUCCCGGUGUAGCAGUGAAAUGCGUAGAGAUCGGGAGGAACAUCAGUUGCGAAGGCGGCUCUCUGGACCAGCACUGACACUGAGGCACGAAAGCGUGGGGAGCAAACAGG
rnacentral:rRNA from 1 species